rnacentral:rRNA from 1 species
UACGUAGGGUGCAAGCGUUAAUCGGAAUCACUGGGCGUAAAGGGUGCGUAGGCGGGUCUUUAAGUCAGGGGUGAAAUCCUGGAGCUCAACUCCAGAACUGCCUUUGAUACUGAAGAUCUUGAGUCCGGGAGAGGUGAGUGGAACUGCGAGUGUAGAGGUGAAAUUCGUAGAUAUUCGCAAGAACACCAGUGGCGAAGGCGGCUCACUGGCCCGGUACUGACGCUGAGGCACGAAAGCGUGGGGAGCAAACAGG